AAUCAAGUGCCUUAAGGGUGUUCGGUGGAUGCCUUGGCGCUGAGAGGCGAUGAAGGACGUGCUACGCUGCGAUAAGCCGUGGGGAGAUGAGAAGAAUAUCUGAUCCAGGGAUUUAAGAAAGGGGAAACCCACGGUCGAUAGCCGGAACUCCAAGACCGAUGUCGAAAGACAUCGGUGUGGGGUUCGAUCAGAUGAUGUGAGACGCCUAGACCUUUAGAUUUCGAUCGAAGAGGUUUUGGAUUUCCGGUUAUCAAGAGAAGGUAUGAGAUUCUGAAUAUAUAGUGGGUUUCACCCAAACCCAGGGAACUGAAACAUCUAAGUACC
rnacentral:rRNA from 1 species